rnacentral:rRNA from 1 species
UACGGGGGGAGCAAGCGCUGUUCGGAUUUACUGGGCGUAAAGGGCGCGUAGGCGGCCACUGCAAGGCGGUUGUGAAAUCUCCGGGCUUAACCCGGAAAGGUCAAUCGAUACUGCAGGGCUAGAGUGCAGAAGGGGCAACUGGAAUUCUCGGUGUAGCGGUGAAAUGCGUAGAUAUCGAGAGGAACACCUGCGGCGAAGGCGGGUUGCUGGGCUGACACUGACGCUGAAGCGCGAAAGCUAGGGGAGCGAACGGG